GCCCAGCCAGUAGAAUGGCUAUGACCCUCGUCUUGUAAACGAGUGGGUUCGGGUUCGAAUCCCGAGUAAGACA
rnacentral:tRNA from 1 species